GUAGGCGCAGCGAAAGCGAGUCUUAAUAGGGCGUCGAGUUAGAUGGAUCAGACCCGAAACCGAGUGAUCUAGGCAUGGCCAGGUUGAAGGUUGGGUAACACCAACUGGAGGACCGAACCCACAUCCGUUGAAAAGGAUCGGGAUGAGCUGUGCCUAGGGGUGAAAGGCCAAUCAAACUCGGAGAUAGCUGGUUCUCUGCGAAAUCUAUUUAGGUAGAGCGUCAUCCGAAUACCCCCGGGGGUAGAGCACUGGAUG
rnacentral:rRNA from 1 species